rnacentral:rRNA from 1 species
UACGUAGGGGGCAAGCGUUGUCCGGAAUUAUUGGGCGUAAAGAGCGUGUAGGCGGCCAGAUAAGUCCGCUGUGAAAACUCGAGGCUCAACUUCGAGCUGUCGGCGGAAACUAUCUGGCUAGAGUCCGGAAGAGGAGAGUGGAAUUCCUGGUGUAGCGGUGAAAUGCGCAGAUAUCAGGAAGAACACCCGUGGCGGAAGGCGGCUCUCUGGGACGGUACUGACGCUGAGACGCGAAAGCGUGGGGAGCGAACAGG